rnacentral:rRNA from 1 species
AGAGUUUGAUCCUGGCUCAGAACAAACGCUGGCGGCGUGCCUAACACAUGCAAGUCGUACGAGAAAGUCGGCUUCGGCCGAUGAGUAAAGUGGCGCACGGGUGAGUAACGCGUGGAUAAUCUACCCUUUAGUCCGGAAUAACUUAUCGAAAGGUGAACUAAUACCGGAUGAUAUCCCGGUUUCCUCGGAGACUGGGUUCAAAGAAGGCCUCUGCUUGCAAGCUUUUGCUGAAGGAUGAGUCCGCGUACCAUUAGCUAGUUGGUAAGGUAAAGGCUUACCAAGGCGAUGACGGGUAGGGGACCUGAGAGGGUGGCCCCCCACAAUGGAACUGAAACACGGUCCAUACACCUACGGGUGGCAGCAGGAGGGAAUAUUGGUUAAUGUGCGAAAGCGCGAACCAGCAACGCCGCGUGUACGAAGAAGGCCUUCGGGUUGUAAAGUACUUUUCACCGGGAAGAGGAAGGACGGUACCGGUGGAAUAAGUCUCGGCUAACUACGUGCCAGCAGCCGCGGUAACACGUAGGAGACGAGCGUUAUCCGGAUUUACUGGGCGUAAAGCGCGUGCAGGCGGCCUGUUAAGUCGGACGUGAAAGCUCCCUGGCUCAACCGGGAGAGGUCGUUCGAAACUGGGAGGCUGGAGGGCAGCAGAGGAGUGUGGAAUUCCGGGUGUAGUGGUGAAAUGCGUAGAUAUCCGGAGGAACACCAGUGGCGAAGGCGGCACUCUGGGCUGUACCUGACGCUAAGACGCGAAAGCGUGGGUAGCGAACGGGAUUAGAAACCCCGGUAGUCCACGCCGUAAACGAUGUGCACUAGGCGUAUGGUCUUCGGACUGUGUGCCGCAGCAAACGCGAUAAGUGCACCGCCUGGGGACUACGGCCGCAAGGCUAAAACUCAAAGGAAUUGACGG